GAGAAUUCGUUGUUAGGUGCGUAGCCGCUGCAAGAAUAAGUUGUGUAAAAAUAGGUUGCUGUUGUGAAAGAAUAAGCUGCUAUUUCAUCUCCGGCUAUUGAGCCAAGUGGGCCAUUCCAUCAAAUCGGAACUCUUACUCAACUAUAAUCUGCUCUUACUGUUCUCGUAACCGGGUGUCGGCUCCGAUCCAACUAGUAAGAGGAA
rnacentral:lncRNA from 1 species